UAUUUACUAAUCAAUUGUGGGUGAAAUGCUGACAGUGAGGAGAAAUUAAAAAAAAGUUUUGAAGGAGAGAAUGAAUCCAAUUUAACGUUACAGCUAACAAUAAAGGCAUUGCAUGAAUGCAACGAAGGCAAUAUCUGCAUUUUAAAUCUAACUCAUUUUUGUAUAUUUAUUCUUUAUAAUUGUUAAAUGCUGUUUUUUGCUGCAUGUCUUGCCAACACAGGACAGCAAAUUCCUAAAGCAUGUAAAUGUAUGUGGCAAAUGAAAUUGAUCCUUGACUCAAUUAAAUAUCAGUUGGUUAAAGAUACAAGAAAAUUAAUAUCCACAAAAUUUAGUGCAAAUCACUCUAACUUAUAUGUUUGAUUUUUGAGCAUUACGGCAGAAAAUUUAAACUGAUUGGAAAAGCUGGUAAGUCAAAGUUGAGAGCUAACAAUCAACUUCAAACAGCGUGGAUCAUUCCAAGGCUGGACAUCCAGAGGCAGCUCCUUUUGGAGACAGGUACCCGAAUGUGAUUGGGAAUGUUGGAUGAAUGUUUGGGGCUGAGUAUACACAUGUAGAAGAUAGGGUUGGGAUUGGGACCUGGAGACCAGAGUGUGGCCAGGAGUUGGGGAAGAUGAGCCAAGAGAGGGAGUGGGUCUGUGGGAGGGCUGUAGGAGGUCAGAGCGUCGUUGGGAGAGGAAGGAAGGAAGUGAAAGCCUCAAGGUGUGUAAUUUACUAUAUGUAUGUGUAUGUGUGUGUGUGUGUGUGUGAGAAAGUUUGUGCACCUGUAUGCAUGGUACAUUGGGCAAAAAUACUGGCUGGUAAGUGAAUGUGGCUCUCACAGUAGAAUUUCUGUUUUGUCAUAGUUGAGCCUAUUUGAAAAAUACACUGCCCUAUUUCUGGUCCUCAUUAUUUGCCCGGUUGACUGAAACAUCAACCACUAACUUGUUAGUGGAUGUCGCCACAUCACCUGAAUCUGAUAAAAAGUUCACAAGAAGUGCAACAAUGAAAAACAGAUGAGGUGAAGAAAAUAUUGGACAUUUGGGAAAUCUGAUGAUAUUUUAAUAAAUGAGGAAGGAAAUCUAAUGAGGUUAAAUGGAAGACAAACUGCAAACAAAAGUGAAGACUAGGAACUAAAGGAAAUUUCUUGGGCCUUUUGUUGCAAUAAAAGACAGAGAAUAAAUGAAAACAAAUGGAAACUCAAAAUGGCCUGAAGUUGAGUCUAAGUCGAUUAGUCUGAAAUUACUCGUUCUGCUUUACAAAGUGUUCCUUUUUCAAAUAGGAGAAGUGCUCUCGAGAAGAGGCCCCAUCCACCAAGGGUAUUCAGGGAACAACUUCCCAACCUGAACUUCAAGAAGGAAAACUGCGUGAAGGUUUCAACAUCAGUAAUGACAUUCUCACUGAAACCUAACAUCUGCUGCAGAUCCAAGGACGUGUGAGGAACAUCCUGAAGUGUUGCCAUGCCUAUACAUACUAACUCUAAUCUGUACAUCUUUGGAAUGUGGGAGGAAACAGGAAACCCACUCGGUCACUGGGACAAUGUGCAAAUUCCUUACAGGAUAGCAGGGGGAUCUGAACUGACACUGACACUGACACUGUAAAACGUUACGCUACCCGCUAAUUCCUUCCAAAUGCACAUUCAGAAGGCAGUUCGUGAUCCACUGGUAAGGGACAACCCUCUUCCUUAACAGCGUGACAACUGAAAGUUCAGAGUCCAUCCUCCUGUACGCUUCAAUUUCCAAUUUUGUUCAAAUAAAGGCAGAUAUGGAUUGUCCUAUCUGUAAUAACGGAUCGGCCGUAAUUUAAUUAGUGGGACUCUGACUCCAAAACUGGAUCAAGCUUGUAUUUAUAGUAAGGAGUUUACCUGGCUGGCAGAAGGUCGGGGACAAUUCCCUGGCAACUCCCCUGGCGAUGUCGGAUUCCUGGCGAGCCGCUUGUGCGGCAGCAUCUGCUGCAUCAGCUUUGGCCCUCGC